rnacentral:rRNA from 1 species
AUUGAACGCUGGCGGAAUGCUUACACAUGCAAGUCGAACGGCAGCACGGGGGCAACCCUGGUGGCGAGUGGCGAACGGGUGAGUAAUACAUCGGAACAUGCCCAGUCGUGGGGGAUAACAUAGCGAAAGUUACGCUAAUACCGCAUACGAUCUACGGAUGAAAGCGGGGGACCGUAAGGCCUCGGGCGACUGGAGCGGCCGAUGUCAGAUUAGGUAGUUGGUGAGGUAAAGGCUCACCAAGCCGACGAUCUGUAGCUGGUCUGAGAGGACGACCAGCCACACUGGGACUGAGACAUGGCCCAGACUCCUACGGGAGGCAGCAGUGGGGAAUUUUGGACAAUGGGCGCAAGCCUGAUCCAGCCAUUCCGCGUGCAGGACGAAGGCCUUCGGGUUGUAAACUGCUUUUGUACGGAACGAAAAGGCUCUGGUUAAUACCUGGGGCUCAUGACGGUACCGUAAGAAUAAGCACCGGCUAACUACGUGCCAGCCGCCGCGGUAA